CCCCCCCAGCAAGAAAUACCCCUGGCGCAGGAAAAAAGCUCUCUGCACCCACAAGGAAUGGCAGACCUUCCAUUCAGCUCCCAGAGCUCAGACACCAGCAGCACUAAGAGAUACCUGAGAGGGCACCAUGGGCAUUAGCGUGCAAAUCAGCUCAGCAAACUCUGGACUCCUGCCACAUAACAACGCACCUGUGAAACACAGCAGAAAACAAGGAGGGAGACGAAUGUGUGACUGCCAACACUUGGAAAUGAACUGGGGACCUCUAGAACUGAAUAUAUUAGCUCAAGCUAUUAGAGACUCGAGAACCAGGCACUCAGGGAUGUAACAGAUUCACAUCUCUGAAACAGGAACAGUGGGGAGCUGUCUAACAUGCUGACCAGUGGCUUACACAUAUACUCCUGUGCAAAAGCUACUGAUGGCUGCUGGAUGCUACUAUUGCUCAUUGGAAGAGCCAGCUUGGACAAACCCUGCAGGAAGCACAGAUGCAGCAAGUUCGUAAAUGGGACUCAAAAGUUAGCCCGAGGCACAAAAACCCUGGACUGAAAUAAGCAGCCAACACCUCUGGAAAAAGGAAGCUUAGCUAUAAGGAAGCUCUGGUUCUGUGCUGGCUAUUAGGUUAUUGUGGGCCACAUUCUUGAUGAUGUUUAUAGCUAUUUAUAGUGACACCUUUGCUGUGUGUUUUUCUUUGGGCUAUUUUUUGGUCCUUUCUUUCACCAACGUAGUGAGGAAUCAAAUUCUAUUUCUUGUACCUUGUUGUUUAUAAGCCAGCACAGCCGCUUGGUCUCUAUGCCAGGUGAAAGCCAAAAUGUUUGCACUUGGGACAGUUGUUACACUGGGGAGCUGUAGAGCUAAAAGCAUGAGCUGUUGUGGGAGUCAGUGCUCCCCAGCUGGGGCUGUAGCUGACUGACCUAGUCUGUGAUCAGGCAUCAAGAGGGGACCUGUAACACACUCUCCAGUGGGUUACACACGUGCCCCUGGAGCCCAGCCUGCUGUGUUUUGCACAGCUGUACUUGUGACUAGGUGAGCAGAGUCUAUAACACUGCACAUUGUGCUGGCCCGAGCCACACUGCGUAUUCAUGCUUCAUUUCCCCACCAGUUGGUCUGUGGGACCUGGAGCAAAGAACAACACUAGAGCGACACCGCGAAUCAGCAGAAAGCCUGUACGUACAGGCCACGCCCAAAGCUGGCGCCGAAUUCAGUGCACGAGGGCCGUGAGGUUGCACUGAAGUGGUCACAACUUCCACUGCACCAAGAAUGCAGGAGGGGCACAGACCACAAGGGUAGUGGAUGCAGUCAGGACAGCUACAGGACGUGCUGACUGCACCCUUUCACCAGCUGCUGCUGGUGCAGUUCUCAUAUAGUCCUGACUAUAAACUAAAGCUCCCACUGGCACAGCACACCAAGGAAAGCAGUGGUAGUACCACCCCUUGAAAUGAAUACCUAUUUCCCCCCCCCCCCCCCCGGGGCCAAGGAGUGCAGUGAAUACCUGCCUGCACCAUCGUCAGUGCAUUUGUCCCUGCAGUGGGAAAGAGAAGCAGAUUUACCAUGAAACAAACUGUGCGGUGGCACGGGGCCCCCAAUGACAGGGGAGGCCCCCCAAAAUGCAGGACAAAUAUUUGACAACCUGCCCCUGAGUCCCGGCCGGCGGCGCAGCAGGGCUCAGGCAGGCUGCCUGCAUGCUGUGGCCAGUGGCCCCACGCCGCUCCCGGAAGCUGCCAGCUACUGGCACAUUUUUGCGCACCCCUGGUGGGGGGAGGUGGCUCUGCGCGCUGCCCCUGCCCUAGGCAGCGCACAGAGACCCGCUACCCCCUUCCCUGCAAGAAGGAGGGUGAAGAGGCGGAUGGAGGAGGAUGACGAAAAAAAGAAUGAAAAACGGAGGGGGGAGGAAUAAGAGAGAAUGUUCUUUUUCUUGGCUGGGUUCCCAGGGGGGCCCCCAAAAAUGAAGCUGCCUACAGGGCCCCACUAAUUCUAAAUCUGCCACUGGUGGAAAAGUAAAGAAAUUGACCUGAAGAGGCAGAGUGGCCCAAUGGGUAGAACAGCAGACUGAAAAUCAGAAGAUUCAGGUUCUAAUCCUGCCUCCACUCUUCUAAAGAGGUUCUUCUACCACUUCCAUUGCCAUGGUAUCUGAGCAACUUCCAGUAGUGCAUUAAGUACCAUGGCUAACAUCUUCCGUUGAUCUGCUGUGUGACUUUGGGCACAUCGUUUCCCUUCCCACCCUUUGUCUGUCCUGUCUAUUUAGAUUGUAAGUCUUUGGAGGCAAGGACUCACCAUGUGUCUGUGCAGCACCCAGCACAAUGGGACCGUGAUCUCAGCACAUGUUAUUGUAAGACAAAUAAUACUAUCCUGCUCUACUACCCCCAGAUGCCUACAGAAAACAGCUCCCUUCCUCGUCCAAACAUACUUGUCUAGAGCUCAUGUUCAUUCUCUGCUUCUCUCCACAGUAUCCCCUUGGCUGGACAAAGAUUGAGGGGUGGGGGAGACACUCUCUCAGCAGCCUGUGAGUCAGAAAGUCCAUUAGAGUCCCCGUAUCAGAAAUCCAGACUCGAUUAUAUCACAACAAGUGAAACUGAGAAAAAUGACAGCCCCAUUUAAAGCUGCCAUAUUUGGUUAUGUGUGAUAGGAAAGACACACAGCACGGUGGUUGGAUGGGGGCGGGGGAAGAAAGGAUUUGGAACUGAAGUUAAACAGAAAAUAAAAUACAAUGUCAUUAAGCUGUGGGCGGGGGAAACUGAGACGUGGCGACGACUCCUCGGCAGGAAAUUUAUUUGUAGUUAUUUGUUAGGAAACGUCUGAUCGGAGUCAUGGAUUAACAUACGUCAGCUGCAGUUCUCCAUGUGCGGGGAAUGGGAAAGGAGAAGAGCAGAUGGGGAUCUGUAGUUGCCUUCGUCUGCUCUGCAAACUGAAUCCUUGAAGGAAAACCUCAAGGAUAAGCUAUCGUGCCUUCCCCUGCUAAAUAAAUAUUUACUGGUUUAAUUCGUUAAUUACCACACUGCUCGUAUGCACUACCUUCCUGCAAAGUGGGAAACCCAACCCACUCCAAGGGGGCAGGAGAGGGACCUAAUGCAGGGCACCUGGGGUGAUUCCGCUUUGGCUUGAGCGGUGGUGCUGCGGUGGAGACGGUUUGUGGCAUCUGCAGCUACGGAAUCCACCUCUAGGGAUUGGGGGUGCUCCCUGCACAGCAGGGUUUGGAAGGAUCGUGAGUGGGGAAAGAGUUAUGCGGAUGGGAUCUGCUGCUAAACAGAUCCACCAGUGAUUGCUUGCCAGUGCCCCCAGGCAGCUGGGACACAGGAAUUACUGCAGCCUCGGUGGUUCAGGAUCCAUUGAGUGGCGUUUGUACAGGGUGCCUUGCACCUGGCUGUUGGAGACAGACAACUAGUCUGAUUCAGCGUGGCAAUUCCUAUGCACUGAUGCUUGAUGAGAUAGCUGAGGAUUUAGCCCUGAGUAACAGACCCAUGGCAUAACAACAUUUGCAAAACACUUCCUAGACCUGCAGCUGUUUAAAAUGUUUGUCUAGAUUCAGGGGCAGCAACAGUUAAUGCCACACCCUUAGAGGGCGUUACCUCUCCCAAGCCCUGUACUACUAUCCUCAGCACUUCCCUGCAUGACAGGUAAGUAAGGCUUGUGUUUGGGGUGAGGGAAGUUGCCCAAGGUCACAGAGUACGUCAGAAGCAGAGCAUGCUCAUUAUUCCAUUCCCCUCCCUUUAAAUGUCUGAGAAAGAGAGAAAAGAAA